CACCCCUCAAGCGUAGCUUGGUAUUGGGCCCUCGCCUCCCCCGGCGUGCCCGAAAAGUAUUGGCGGUCCGGCGUGGCUUCAAGCGUAGUAAAAUUAUUCCCGCUUUGGAAGUCUCCACGUCUGACCCGCCAGACAACCCCAAUUAUUCAAUG
rnacentral:misc_RNA from 1 species